AUUGAACGCUGGCGGCAGGCCUAACACAUGCAAGUCGAAUGGUAACAGGAAACAGCUUGCUGUUUCGCUGACGAGUGGCGGACGGGUGAGUAAUGUCUGGGAAACUGCCUGAUGGAGGGGGAUAACUACUGGAAACGGUAGCUAAUACCGCAUAACGUCGCAAGACCAAAGAGGGGGACCUUCGGGCCUCUUGCCAUCAGAUGUGCCCAGAUGGGAUUAGCUAGUAGGUGGGGUAACGGCUCACCUAGGCGACGAUCCCUAGCUGGUCUGAGAGGAUGACCAGCCACACUGGAACUGAGACACGGUCCAGACUCCUACGGGAGGCAGCAGUGGGGAAUAUUGCACAAUGGGCGCAAGCCUGAUGCAGCCAUGCCGCGUGUAUGAAGAAGGCCUUCGGGUUGUAAAGUACUUUCAGCGGGGAGGAAGGGAGUAAAGUUAAUACCUUUGCUAAUUGACGUUACCCGCAGAAGAAGCACCGGCUAACUCCGUG
rnacentral:rRNA from 1 species